UAGCUGGUCUGAGAGGAUGAUCAGCCACACUGGAACUGAGACACGGUCCAGACUCCUACGGGAGGCAGCAGUGGGGAAUAUUGCACAAUGGAGGAAACUCUGAUGCAGCAACGCCGCGUGGAGGAUGACGCAUUUCGGUGUGUAAACUCCUUUUAUAUGGGAAGAUAAUGACGGUACCAUAUGAAUAAGCACCGGCUAACUCCGUGCCAGCAGCCGCGGUAAUACGGAGGGUGCAAGCGUUACUCGGAAUCACUGGGCGUAAAGCGCGCGCAGGCGGCCUUUUAAGUUGGAUGUGAAAGCCUACGGCUCAACCGUAGAACUGCAUCCAAAACUAUUGGGCUAGAGUGUGGGAGAGGAAGAUGGAAUUAGUCGUGUAGGGGUAAAAUCCGUAGAGAUAACUAGGAAUACCAAAAGCGAAGGCAAUCUUCUGGAACAUUACUGACGCUGAGGCGCGAAAGCGUGGGGAGCAAACAGGAUUAGAUACCCUGGUAGUCCACGCCCUAAACGAUGAAUGUUAGUCGUCGGGUAGCUAGUCUAUUCGGUGAUGCAGCUAACGCAUUAAACAUUCCGCCUGGGGAGUACGGUCGCAAGAUUAAAACUCAAAGGAAUAGACGGGGACCCGCACAAGUGGUGGAGCAUGUGGUUUAAUUCGAAUACGCGAAGAACCUUACCUAGCCUUGACAUAUAUUAGAACACCCUAGAGAUAGAGUGGUGCCUUCGGGAGCUUUUAUACAGGUGCUGCACGGCUGUCGUCAGCUCGUGUCGUGAGAUGUUGGGUUAAGUCCCGCAACGAGCGCAACCCUCGUCACUAGUUACUAACGGUUCGGCCGAGGACUCUAGUGAGACUGCCUUCGUAAGGAGGAGGAAGGUGAGGACGACGUCAAGUCAUCAUGGCCCUUACGGCUAGGGCAACACACGUGCUACAAUGGCCAGGACAAUGAGACGCGAUACCGCGAGGUGGAGCAAAUCUAUAAACCUGGUCUCAGUUCGGAUUGUAGUCUGCAACUCGACUACAUGAAGCUGGAAUCACUAGUAAUCGUAGAUCAGCUAUGCUACGGUGAAUACGUUCCCGGGUCUUGUACUCACCGCCCGUCACACCAUGGGAGUUGAUUUCACCCGAAGCGGGGAAGCUAAACUGGCUACCCUCCACGGUGGAAUCAGCGACUGGGGUGAAGUCGUAACAAGGUAACCGUAGGAGAACCUGCGGUUG
rnacentral:rRNA from 1 species